rnacentral:rRNA from 1 species
GCAGUCGAGCGGAACGAGUUAUCUGAACCUUCGGGGGACGAUAACGGCGUCGAGCGGCGGACGGGUGAGUAAUGCCUAGGAAAUUGCCCUGAUGUGGGGGAUAACCAUUGGAAACGAUGGCUAAUACCGCAUAAUGCCUACGGGCCAAAGAGGGGGACCUUCGGGCCUCUCGCGUCAGGAUAUGCCUAGGUGGGAUUAGCUAGUUGGUGAGGUAAGGGCUCACCAAGGCGACGAUCCCUAGCUGGUCUGAGAGGAUGAUCAGCCACACUGGAACUGAGACACGGUCCAGACUCCUACGGGAGGCAGCAGUGGGGAAUAUUGCACAAUGGGCGCAAGCCUGAUGCAGCCAUGGCGCGUGUGUGAAGAAGGCCUUCGGGUUGUAAAGCACUUUCAGUCGUGAGGAAGGUAGUGUAGUUAAUAGCUGCAUUAUUUGACGUUAGCGACAGAAGAAGCACCGGCUAACUCCGUGCCAGCAGCCGCGGUAAUACGGAGGGUGCGAGCGUUAAUCGGAAUUACUGGGCGUAAAGCGCAUGCAGGUGGUUUGUUAAGUCAAAUGUGAAAGCCCGGGGGCUCAACCUCGGAAUUGCAUUUUGAAACUGGCA